CAAUGGGGGAAACCCUGAUGCAGCGACGCCGCGUGAAGGAAGAAGUAUUUCCGUAUGUAAACUUCUAUCAGCAGGGNAAGAAAAUGACGGUACCUGCACUAAGAAGCCCCGGCUAACUACGUGCCAGCAGCCGCGGUAAUACGUAGGGGGCAAGCGUUAUCCGGAUUUACUGGGUGUAAAGGGAGCGUANACGGUGUGGCAAGUCUGAUGUGAAAGGCAUGGGCUCAACCUGUGGACUGCAUUGGAAACUGUCAUACUUGAGUGCCGGAGGGGUAAGCGGAAUUCCUAGUGUAGCGGUGAAAUGCGUAGAUAUUAGGAGGAACACCAGUGGCGAAGGCGGCUUACUGGACGGUAACUGACGUUGAGGCUCGAAAGCGUGGGGAGCAAACAGGAUUAGAUACCCUGGUAGUCCAAGGGCGAAUUC
rnacentral:rRNA from 1 species